rnacentral:rRNA from 1 species
AGUGAAUAGAUACCCAGGUAGUCCCAGCUGUAAACUAUGCAGGCUAGGUGUUUGAGCGGCCACGUGCCGCUCUAGUGCCGCAGGGAAGUUGUUAAGCCUGCCGCCUGGGGAGUACGGUCGCAAGAUUGAAACUUAAAGGAAUUGGCGGGGGAGCACCACAAGGGGUGAAAGCUUGCGGUUUAAUUGGAGUCAACGCCGGAAAUCUCACCGGGGGCGACAGCAGUAUGAUGGCCAGAUUAAAGGUCUUGCCAGACGAGCUGAGAGGAGGUGCAUGGCCGUCGCCAGUUCGUGCCGUGAGGUGUCCUGUUAAGUCAGGCAACGAUCGAGACCCGCGUCCUCUGUUGCUACUGGUUUUGUACCAGGCACACUGAGGAGACCGCCGCUGACAAAGCGGAGGAAGGAGCGGGCCACGGCAGGUCAGUAUGCCCCGGAAUCUCCCGGGCCACACGCGAGCUGCAAUGGCAGGUACAAUGGUUCCGACCUCGAAAGGGGUAGGCAAUCUCGAAAGCCUGCCGUAGUUGGGAUCGUGGGUU